ensembl:lncRNA
UCUGAAUUUCUAUUAUUCAAAGAUUUUUGUCAUGCCUUUCUCUCCCAGAUUAGGAAAAUUCUGCUCUAAGAACUUUCUUUCCCACAGACACAAUUAACACCAAACUCACUCUGUUAUGAUCUAGUGGGUAAACGAAGCGUGGGUUCACAGCUGCUUCUCACAGUAGUGUUCUUUUCUUACCAGUCGCUUAUUAUUUUGUUAUACUGGAACCAGUUAGCUUGUUUUUCCAGACAUGGUUAUUUUCCAAGCUAAAUGACUACUUAUAGCUUUUUUUUUUUUUUGGCUUGUUUUCUAAGUUUCAGCCAAAGAGAUUCAGUCAGUAGCAAGAAUAAGCAGAGGGGUGCACAUCUUCUGGUUUGUUUCUUUGUUUUAAAUGUUAAAAUAUAAAGACCUUGAAAGCUAUAGGGGCAUCUUUGUUAUGGAACUAAAUUCCAUGAUGUUUUGAAGUGCUCUGAUACCAUCUUGCUUGGGAAAAAACAACAACAACAAAACACUUGUUUUGCCCUGAAAGCUGAGCUCAGUUAAUGUCCAGCAGGCAGAGCAGUGUUUAGGGCCUAGCUGACAGGAGCAAGGCUAAGCCAGAAUGUUGAAUAACUACCCAAGGCACAUACACUGUCCGUUUUACGUCCCAGCUGAAGAAGCAGAUGAUGAAUGCACCCAAUAAAGGCUGCCUCCAAAUGUUUAGUAGAGCUGACAGCUGUGACCCCGCUGGCACUCCGGCCCUCACACAGGGCCACACGCAGCGUCCCACAGCCGUUCUGCCCACCCGCGGCCCUGCUCAGAAGUCGGCAUGGCCAUACAGGGACGGCUCCUCUGCACUUGCCACUGUUCCCAUGGUGCAAUGUAUGGGCAAACCAAGCAUGUGUGUGAGGCCUGUUCCUGCUGCCGAGGGUUUUCCAGUAAGAUGGGUUUCUGCCUGAAACCAGAGGUGUGGUGCAAAUCCUCGGUUGCUGUGACCUGCUUUACCCCUGCUGGAAAAGAAGCCACAGAUACAUGUAAGUCAGCUUUCCCCUCAUAAAAUCUGCUGUGUAGAAGCAAUAAUGGUAUGAUUUCCAGGUUUUUUUUCCAGCACAGACUUUCUUAAAAAUGGGUAUUUCAGCUCCAUAAGGUCAGCUUAACGCUAUCAGUUUUCAGAUGGUCAUAUGGUUUAGGCAAGACCCCUCAGUACAGUAAGGCACAGUCCCAUGCUUGCAAACAAUAAACAAAGUGAUGUAGUGAUCCUCAACAUAGCAGUGCCACCAGUGCCCCACUAUGUUACCCCACUAGCCAGCAGGGCCAUGUGCAAAGAGACCAGAGACCUUGAAAGUCCCUUCAAACUGAAACAACUCACGAUUCUAAGAUUUAAUUAUCAGAAGCAAUUGGGUAUUGCAGGUGAAAAGUGAGCAUUUCUCAUUAUGCUGCUGCUUUCAAUGUUCUCUAAUGACCAAGUAGGACUUUUAAUUUCCAUGCUUUCUGGUUAUUACUCUUUUUUCAGCUUCAUACAAUCUAAACUCCAAGCUUUCAGACUUAUCCUCCCUGGCAACUAUUGUUAUUCUUGCUUUCUAGUUCUUAAUUAAUAUUUGCCAUGCUCUUACUAAGGUAAGUCUGUACUUUCUCGUUAUAUGAAAUUAAAAGUAGGUGAGCUUAGUUACCAACUAAGAGAAGCUUUAGAAAGCCAUAGGACACCUUCAUAUGUGGAUUUAUUUUUUUUUUGAUUUUGAUUCUCAGGAGUGCCCUGAAGACCUUCUAUCUAACCUGUCAGUCAAAUGAAUCAGUGAGUCAUUGUGUCAGAAAUACAGAGUCUUGCAUGCUGUACUCUGUGGUGAGUCCAUGAUUUUCCUGAUUACUGCACACAAACAACACUUCUUCGUAGCUGUGUGUUGCUGAUGAAUGAAUGCAAAAUAAGAUGAGUGAAAAAACUUCUGCUUCAGCUUUUGUGAUUGCUGUUAGGAAGAUGUUGAUUCAAUUCCUUUUCUUUGCCUCAUGCUCCCUGGGUUAGCAGAAGAGGCAUUAGAAAGGUGAGGCAAUCUGCCUAAACAGGAGAAAGAGCAUCUUAACAGCAGAGCUUCUAGCUGAGUGAAGAGCAUGCAGGCGAAGAAAGCAGGAAGAUCUGUGGAAUAUGGGAGAAGACAAUCCACAGACUUAUGGGAUGGUUUGCAUAGACAUACUGAAGGCUGCCAUUAUGGUGGGUGGAUUGAGUGUUCUGAUGAACCUCCUUGGAUAUUUAUAACUUGUGUACUCCGCUGAUAUCAUUAUAUAUAUGUCAUAGAAACAAACAGCAAUUUGGGAAAGGGAACCAAUGACCUCUGAAGCCUCAGAGGUUUUCUUGUACCCAUUACUGCCCCAAAUGUAUUCCUAAGUAUCACAUCACACAAGCAUGCUUCUCUCCCCUGGACUGCCAUGAGAGCUCAGGCUGCCGAGGCAUCCAUGGGAGGCUCCUUGCAUGCUGCAGGACAGGGCCAAGAGGCAGGCAGCCAUGUGCAGGGUGACGCCCUAUGUGUGCAGCCUGCUGCAGCUGGGUCUCAGCAGAGCCACGUGCUGCUGCUGUGGCACCAAAGCACACCAAGCCUCAUUGGCCAGCACCUGAUUUUUUAAUGCCGUUGUUUAUGUAACUGCAACUUUAAAUGGUUUCAGAUAACUGGAUUAGUGAGGUUAGACGCAAUAAAGUUAUCUGAGACAGGAUCAGACUAAAGGGCUGUCUCUGACAAUGGCCACUACUGACUUGAAGAAUAGAUUGUACAGCAGUGCUUCCAAACUGACACCCUCUGAGCUUUAGCAGUCUGUGCCUCAGGAUGAAUUCAGCCAAGAGUGAUAUCUGUGCUUAACAGAUAUGUAAGAUCCCCACUGAUGAUGGGAGGAGUUUUGCAUGAGAAAAAGUUCCAGCCAUCCCUACUGAGCUAAUGAAAAAUUUUGUGCAGUACUUCUCUGCAUUUGGCCACAUCUGAUUCUUCUUCUCAUACACAAAAGCAACGGUCAAAAUGAUAACACCAGAACUUCCAGACCCAUAUGAACAGAAUGUGUCAUCAAAACCCAUAAAUGGAGAAAAAGGACUCAUAGGCUAUGGUGCAUGUCUUGAGGAGCAAAAGAAAAAAAAAAUAAAUAAGGCUUUAAUAGGUUACUUUAUGGAGGGAAGGAUUUUCAGUUCCUUCUAAAAUAGAUAGUUUUGAAUAGUUCAUUUCACAAAACAUUAGGAAGGAAAGAUUGGAGGAAAUCUGUAUUUCUCAGCUUCAAAAUUGAGCUAUAGGCAGAGCGUUUGCCAGCUCAUUUUUCUUUUUUGCUGGAAACAGACAUUUGUGAGUUGUGGAAAACAAGCAGUGGGAGGAGGGAGGAAAUUGUCUAAGCCUGCAUAAGGAGUUUAGAUAGUAUACCUGUAUAAUUUAUAAAGAGCUUUGAUACCUAAGAAGGCCAUUGUGGAUACACUGCACAGUUCUCACCUUGUGCCCGGUUGAGCCAGGGGCAUCCAUAGAUGGUCGGCUUUUGUCUGCCCCAAGGACAUUGCAGUGACAGCAUAUGUAAGUGAACUAUCCUAAAUCCUAGUACCUCCUUUUGUAACUCAACUCCAGCUAUCAGAAGAUGCUAGAAAAUUAAUGUUAGUGAUGGGCUCACUAAUAGAACCCAAAGCAUUUAUGGGGACCUAAGGGCUCACAGCAGUGCCAUCAGCACUCUCAUAAACAUAGUGGAGUUUCAUAGGAGUGAAAAUGCACAUCUUGUGAAAUUAUUUUCAUGAUGGUGCCAUAUGGGCUGGAAUGGUUUUGAGAUUUUUUUUUACCACACUCUUCAUGCAACUAACUAAACUCAGAAACAUGGGCAGAGAGGGGGCACUGUGAGAAGGCCGUGCAAUAAGGAAGUGGAAUUACAGCAUUCUCCCUGGAAAAAGAGUGGAUACUUCAGGGUAUGUGCUAGUUUUGAGGCUGUGCGGUGCUUAGCAGCUUGCUAGGGUAAACUCACAACAGGAUACCACAGGGGAAGGCAGGCUACAAUUUUUUAUAGGUCAGUGUUUUAUGGGCUGCUUAACUGAGAUGACUGUGUACUUCAACACUGAGAGAGCCAGGGGAAAGUCUCCUGCUUACUUCCAGCCUAGAGCUGGAAGCACAGCACAUCAGAGAUUGCUCAGUCCUCUGACAUCGGAUCUGUCUCCAACACAGCAGGCUCUACACCAUUAUCCAGUACAAGUCCUCAAUGCAUGCAAUUUCCAAUAGUUUUUCUGAUUGUGCCCAAAAAGUAAAUUUUUCUUAUUGCUUAGUUUGCUUCCUAGUUGCCUCACACUAAGUUACCUUCAAAUUUAUGCACUUUGUAAACUUGACCAAAAUAAAACAGCCAAGAAAACACAGAAAUUGAGAUAAAGUUGUGAAAUGCAUAGCUGCAUUGUCUAGGAGUACAGCAGGAGUAAAGUACGUGGCUUUAUGGCAGGAGCUAGACUUUGUUUUCUCAAAUGCUAAAGACAUUAACUAUGAGAUAAUAAUUUCUUCUCUUAUCAAUUGCACGUUCCAUUAGGCAACCACUUUGUCUAUUUCUGUUUGAGAAGCUACAGUUAGGAAGGCUCUCAGUGCCUAAUUGCUUUGGUUUAAU